rnacentral:rRNA from 1 species
GGAUUAGAUACCCUGGUAGUCCACGCCGUCAACGAUGAGAACUAGAUGUUGGGAGGUAUACCCUCUUAGUGUCGAAGCUAACGCGUUAAGUUCUCCGCCUGGGGAGUACGGCCGCAAGGCUAAAACUCAAAGGAAUUGACGGGGGCCCGCACAAGCGGUGGAGCAUGUGGUUUAAUUCGAUGCAACGCGAAGAACCUUACCUACUCUUGACAUCCCAAGAAUCUUCUAGAGAUAGAGGAGUGCCUUCGGGAACUUGGAGACAGGUGCUGCAUGGCUGUCGUCAGCUCGUGCUG